AGUGAACGCUGGCGGCGUGCUUAACACAUGCAAGUCGAACGAGAACGGAUCAUAGCUUGCUAUAAUUGUCAGCUAAGUGGCGCACGGGUGAGUAAUGUAUAGGUAAUAUGCCUCUUACUAAGGGAUAACAAAUGGAAACGUUUGCUAAUACCUUAUACUCCUUAUUAACAGAAGUUAAUAAGGGAAAGAUUUAUUGGUAAGAGAUUAGCCUGUAUUGUAUCAGUUAGGUGGUGGGGUAAUGGCUUACCAAGACUAUGACACAUAACUGGUUUGAGAGGAUGAUCAGUCACACUGGAACUGAGACACGGUCCAGACUCCUACGGGAGGCAGCAGUGGGGAAUAUUGCACAAUGGACGAAAGUCUGAUGCAGCAACGCCGCGUGGAGGAUGACACAUUUCGGUGCGUAAACUCCGUUUAUAUGAGAAGAUAAUGACGGUAUUAUAUGAAUAAGCACCGGCUAACUCCGUGCCAGCAGCCGCGGUAA
rnacentral:rRNA from 1 species